CUGCAUAGACUGAGGAAGCAAAUUACUAUUUCUUGAGGGAAGGGAAACGAUUUUUUUUUUAAUCGAACACCUACAAAUGUGCGGAGAUCUUUAACUCCAGAAGAGGCUGACAAAAUCCUAGCUUUAUCUCAGGGCUGAGAAGAAAUCGUAAAGGUAUGCUUGGUGCGAGGGUCCUUUCUGCCCGAAGAAAUCUUAGCGCUGAAGUGAACUGUAGGCGUCAAGUCCCAAUGCCAUUGUUUCUCAUCUGCAGCGGAGCCUCCUUUGAUUCCUCAGAUAAACACGGCAGCCGAGGGGGGAAGCUUGACAAGUUCUUCAAGCACCACUGGUUCAGAGAGCUCUGCAGUGGCAGGAAACCCUGGGGAAAAGCGAUCCUGAACUUCCCGUUCAGGAGAGGUCGCCAACGCCCGCGGAUUCCUGCCCCGCGCCCGAGUAUACUCCGCGCCUCCGUGGUGCGUGGCUAAUGAAGCAGAGUUUACAGAUGUCUCUCGCUUGAAAACCGGUGGGAUCCUUCCUGUUGCAGCCGGGGGUCAGAGCUAGAGGAAUGGGAGCUUUGCUAAUUCGGUUAUAUCGGGAUGGAGGGCAAGGAGUAUUUUUAUUCGGACACGACGGCUCCAUCAGUGCUUCGUUCCUGGGAAUUCCGGUUUCAUAUAGCAAUUUUAUGUGAACGCCUGUUUCUGCCCUGCUUGGGGUCUUUUGCCUUCGAAGGUAUAAGGCACCAAAACCUUAAGGCAUUUGCAACACAAACUGUACGAAGCCCACUCGUUUUUGUAACUCGUGUGAAAACUGUACUUUGGUUGAAAAUGGAUCUAAAACCGCACAAAAAAGAGGAGAAUAUCCCAGUGUUUUUUUCAGCAACGUUACCGCGUGAAAAAUGUCUAAUUAUUUGCUAGAUUUUGCCUCUUGCUUUCUGUACAUCCUGUCCUUCCUCUUGGAUGCUGGCAGUGAACAAAUACAGAAUUUUACAGGGAAAUAAAAAUGCAGACACAUUCUGUUAAACGCUACUGUUAUUGUUAUUCAUUUGCUAUUAGUUUUGGUGAGGAACCAAAAAAAUGAAACCCGCUGCUGAAGUUGAGAACCCAAAUUCGAGUAUAAACAUCCAGGACUCCUGCAGCUAAGAUUAUUUUUUCUGAAUGGAAAAAGGAAGUUCUACAAUCACAUUUCACCACAGCUGACUCUUAAUAAUAAAUACGAAUGACGUGGAGUUCCGUCUUUCCAGGAAAGA